rnacentral:rRNA from 1 species
AGGGUUUGAUUAUGGCUCAGAACGAACGCUGGCGGCAGGCUUAACACAUGCAAGUUGAACGGGAUUUGUAUGGUGCUUGCACCAUGUAAUGAGAGUAGCGCACUGGUGAGUAACACGUGGGAACAUACCUUGAAGUGGGGGACAACAGUUGGAAACGACUGCUAAUACCGCAUAAUCCCUGAGGGGGAAAGAUUUAUCGCUUUAAGAUUGGCCCGCGGAAGAUUAGGUAGUUGGUGGGGUAAAGGCCUACCAAGCCGACGAUCUAUAGCUGGUCUGAGAGGACGAACAGCCACAUUGGAACUGAGACACGGUCCAG